rnacentral:rRNA from 1 species
GUCUAUUUGGAGAUAUAAAAAGUUUAACCUGCCCACUGAUAAAAAUAAAUUAAAUGGCCGCGGUAUUUUGACCGUGCAAAGGUAGCAUAAUCGUUAGUUUUUUAAUUGGAAUCUUGUAUGAAUGGUUGGACAAAAGAAAAUCUGUCUUUAUAUUAUUUAUUGAAUUUAACUUUUAAGUGAAAAGGCUUAAAUAAAUUAAAGGGACGAUAAGACCCUAUAAAGCUUAAUAUUAAAAUUUUAUUUAGUUGAAUUUUUUAUUAUAAAAACUUAGUAAUUAAAUUUAUUUUAUUGGGGCGAUAAGAGUAAAAUGGUCAUUAACUGCUUAACUUUUUAUACACUUAUAAGUGAUUAAUUUUUUAAAUGAUCCUAAGUAAAGAUUAAAAGUUUAAGUUACUUUAGGGAUAACAGCGUUAUUUUUCUUAAGAGUACUUAUCGAAAGAAAAGUUUGCGACCUCGAUGUUGAAUUAAAAUGUCUUUAUAAUAGCAGCAGUUAUAAAAGUAGGUCUGUUCGACCUUUAAAAUUUUACAUGAUUUGAGUUCAGACCGGCGUGAG